rnacentral:lncRNA from 1 species
GAAAUUAAAAGUAUUUGAUAGGAUAGGACAUAGGACAAGACUGAAUUUCCAGGUUUUAUAGUGCAAAUAUUCAUGCGUGAAUUUGGUCGGUAUAUUGAACUUUUAGUUACAUACAUGUAAGAUACUGAAUAAAAUGUCAGCGAAAUUCAUAAAAAAAUGGAGUUGGAAAGGGUACAUCGCACUAAGAGAAAAGUAUUAAGAUUCACACUGCAAGUCCUAAGCUACCUAUACAUGUAUCUGUGACGCUGGAAAAAUUCCGGAUUUUAUGUAAGCACUGUAAUAAGCCAGAAUGAAGCUCCAAAUUACAUAAACUACAAUAGUUACUCAAGUUGGAUACUUUGUUAAAAAGGAAACC